rnacentral:rRNA from 1 species
AACGAACGCUGGCGGCAUGCCUAACACAUGCAAGUCGAACGAGACCUUCGGGUCUAGUGGCGCACGGGUGCGUAACGCGUGGGAACCUGCCCUUAGGUUCGGAAUAACUCCCCGAAAGGGGUGCUAAUACCGGAUAAUGUCUUCGGACCAAAGAUUUAUCGCCUUUGGAUGGGCCCGCGUUGGAUUAGCUAGUUGGUAGGGUAAAAGCCUACCAAGGCGAGGAUCCAUAGCUGGUCUGAGAGGAUGAUCAGCCACACUGGGACUGAGACGCGGCCCAGACUCCUACGGGAGGCAGCAGUGGGGAAUAGUGGACCAUGGGCGAAAGCCUGAUCCAGCAAUGCCGCGUGAGUGAUGAAGGCCUUAGGGUUGUAAAGCUCUUUUACCCGGGACGAUAAUGACAGUACCGGGAGAAUAAGCUCCGGCUAACUCCGUG